rnacentral:rRNA from 1 species
CCUACGGGAGGCAGCAGUGAGGAAUAUUGGUCAAUGGCCGAGAGGCUGAACCAGCCAAGUCGCGUGAGGGAAGACGGCCCUACGGGUUGUAAACCUCUUUUGUCGGGGAGCAAAGAGAGUCACGUGUGACUCAUUGAGAGUACCCGAAGAAAAAGCAUCGGCUAACUCCGUGCCAGCAGCCGCGGUAAUACGGAGGAUGCGAGCGUUAUCCGGAUUUAUUGGGUUAAAAGGGUGCGCAGGCGGAGGUGCAAGUCAGCGGUAAAAUUGCGGGGCUCAACCCCGUACUGCCGUUGAAACUGCAUCCCUUGAGUGCGCGAGAAGUAUGCGGAAUGCGUGGUGUAGCGGUGAAAUGCAUAGAUAUCACGCAGAACUCCGAUGGCGAAGGCAGCAUACCGGCGCUCAACUGACGCUGAGGCACGAAAGCGUGGGGAUCGAACAGGAUUAGAUACCCGAGUAGUC